rnacentral:rRNA from 1 species
UAAGGAAUAUUGCUCAAUGGGAGAAAUCCUGAAGCAGCAACGCCGCGUGGAGGAUGAAGGGUCUAUGACUUGUAAACUCCUGUAAAGAAGGAAAAAAUUCCCAUUAGAUGGGAGAUGAUGGUACUUCUGGAGUAAGCCCCGGCUAACUACGUGCCAGCAGCCGCGGUAAUACGUAGGGGGCAAGCGUUGUCCGGAUUUACUGGGUGUAAAGGGUGCUCAGGCGGAUUUGUAAGUCAGAGGUGAAAUCUUACAGCUUAACUGUGAAACUGCCUUUGAUACUGCAAGCCUAGAGUAUGGAAGAGAGUGAUGGAAUAUCUGGUGUAGCAGUGAAAUGCGUAGAUAUCAGAUAGAACACCAAUGGCGAAGGCAGUCACUUGGUCCAUUACUGACGCUAAAGCACGAAAGCGUGGUAGCAAACA